AUGUACCUCAUAGUUGGGCUGUACCUUCCUCAGGUGUCAAAUGUGAUGCUGUACCUGGUCGUUCAAAUCUUACCUCCAUCUCGGUACACAGCUUCGCCAUCCAGCCAAGUAUCUUUAUUGAAUUGUGACCCUAUCUAG
rnacentral:rRNA from 1 species